rnacentral:lncRNA from 1 species
GAUAACUCUAAACCUUGGAACAUUUCCCCAUAUUCUCACCUGAAUCCUGGCCACUGAUGCAGAGAAAUUUACUCGUCAGACCAUACAGUGGUUUUGUUGUUGUUUGGUUUGGUUUUGUUCUUUGUUUUUGACACAGGGUCUCAGGCUGUCCUCAAAUGGGACACACAAUGUGCUAUGUUCCACUCUUUCAAAGUGCUGUAACUUCCCUCGACUAUUUUAAAUUCUGUGCCAAACUUAAUUCCUAUCCACAAAUGGGGAGAAGCAGGGACUAUGCCCAAGCUAGUGGAAGGAAUAACUCCAGAAAGUAAUAUUCCUGUUUCCUAGGACAGCACUUUUUGCUAGAUAAUGAGUCGCUACAAAAAAAAUUCUUCUCCCUUGAGGAUUUAAGGGCACCCACACAGUUUGCAUCGCUGAAAGUCUGUCUGUCAGAGGCUCCAAACAUUUCCACUCAGAAUACCCUUUGGUCAACUGCUAUCUCACACAUCCAUUACUGAAAAGGCUCACAUGCUCAUACCGAUGGUAGGAGUCGCUCCAACAACCAUGUCCGUUGUAGGGAGAAGGGGCACAGCUCCAGGGAGUUGCUGCCAAGGGAGAAACUGUAAUGUUUCAAACUGGCAGCACUCUGCUCCUUCCACACUCUCUUUCCCUCACAGGGGGAAAGGAUGUGAGGAAACAAGCAGGAGUAAGGCAUGGCCACGACACUCCCACCCACACCCACCCAUCUGCUCUAUAGACCUCACCAGCAUCUUAAAGUGGGAAACCAACUAAACUGUAGCAACCUGACCUUGUCCAUCCCCUUCGCAGAAGUGCACGCAUGCAUCCAAGUGACAGUUGGCUCUCCCCUGCGUUUUCCAAGCACGAUGGAAGAAAACCAGAGGGACACACUGUUGGUCCAAUUAAGGUUUUGUCUCCAUGCCUGGACAUUCAAAAAGAGGAGCAGAUGCCAGGCACCUAAAGGGCACCUCAGACGCACCUCACCAUGGUCACUGUUCAAGACCUACUGCCAACUGGCUACAGGGUGAAACUGGCACUUAGCAGGUCCUAGGUUUGUUCUGGCUUUUGUUUUUGUGCUCGCUGCUAUUCCCAGGCCCCAUUCUUCUCCCAGCUGCUGAUCUGAGAAAUCCUAAUGGAAAAAGGAAGACAUCCAAAAUCCCAGGUGGGCGACUUCAUAACCACAACCUCCAGCAAUUGAGGCGAUCAGUAUUUACACAGCUCUAGUGCUGUGGAUGGCCAGACUGCAAGGCACAGACAGCGUGUCAGCAUGAGGAAUAUUUGGGUACAGGAGGGACUCAAGAGUGCUCCCCACUCCUUCCUGAGCUAAGUGACUCAACCCACUCACUCUCAGGAGAGGAAAAAAAAGAAAGGAAACUGACUCAAAUGAAUCUGAAACUAAAGCAGUCCCCAGUUUCAACUGUGAGAUUCCCCUAAACCAUUACUGCAUCCUCUUUCGUGUUAUAUCUGCUCACAGAGCUGUGAGAUACUAUAGAAGUUCAAGCAUCUAUGUCAGAGGACUCAAGUCACCCUUUUCCCUGAAGUCCAAAGAACUUAAAACAGCGACAAGCGCAUCGACAAAGGUGCCAGAUGACUUAUAUUCUACCUUUGUAAGCAGUGACUGACAGUUGAAAGCAAACAAUAUUACGGGGUGCCUAAUGGAAAAGUGGUGUUCUUGGACUGAAGACCACCACUGCACACAACACCCACUAAGAGCUGCUUUCACAUUGCCGUAUUUGAAUAUGAAGGAUAAAGGACUUGCUUGUGUGUGACCCCCCCCCCAAGGACUAGAUAAUGCUGAAUAAAUACAACAGAAAGUCACAUUGACAUGUAAUCAUAAGGGUGUAAGACUAAGUAAGACAGUCUGAUGUUACCUAUAAAUAUAUAUACAUGCACACCAAAGACUGAAGUAGGUAAGACACACUUGCACUGAAGUUACAUUCCAUCUAAUGUCCACCAGAAAGGUAGAUAUAGAGAUACAACAAUUCACAUAAACAUUGAUUGAGUCAGUCCUUUUCUUUAAACAUAAGUUUGCAACUACUGUGAUAGCAAUUCUGAAUAAAAGCCCAGAGAGGGAGACACUUUCUUUACAAGAAUUAAAUUCUUAAAAUGUGGAUCCAGACUUCAAUAUUAGUUAUUUAUGGGAAGUUUUGAAAUGUAUGCCUUCUGAUCUUACUUCAGUGGUUGCUCUGUGCUCUCUCCUCUCUUCUUCCCAUGCACAUACAAUAGUUUCUUAGAUGUAUACAACUUGUCCCAUCUAAGCUGCUCGGGUAAAGGGUAUAGCCACUGCGUAGAUUUAAAUCCUCUGUGAAAUAAGAUGGUCUCCUGUCACUUUAAUUUUUAUUUACUCUACACCAAAGGUUUUAAGUAUUCUGGAGCUGGAGGUUGAGAGGAAUUGUUUUCCUAGCCUGAAACAGCUCGUUAAUUAUUUAUGUAAGUCAUACUUACAAUGAGGCGUUUGUACACUUUUCUGCACAGUAUAAAUCUAGUUUGCCUCCUAAAAUCCCUUGUGGCCUUUAUUACAUAAGAAAACGAACUAGAUCUGGCGUGGUGGCACACACAUCUGUCUAUAAGCUCAGCACUCAGGAGGCUAAGGUAGCAAGUUUGUGGCCAGCUUGGGCACAGAGCAAGGCAGAGGUGGAAAGGGACCUCACAGCAGUAAUGCCAACCUGGUUAUCAUUCCUCAAGAAUGGAAAAAAAAAAAAAAAAUCAAACACACAACACAGAGGCUCACGUGUGUGGUUUUUUUUUGUUUGUUUGUUUGUUUUUUUUUUUUUUUCAAGAAACACCGUUUGUCUCUGGAAAGAGGGGUCAAGUGUGCACCAGACUGCCUUGAGAAGUAAUUAAGCUUGGGCUGUUUCAUUUCACAGCGUCCCAUCU